UUUGUUCCAUUUCUCAGACUCAAAAGAACAAAGCCCUCCAUUCCUUCCUUCCUUCCUUCUUUAGAAACAAAAAUAGACUGUACUGGUCUGUCUGCAGAGGCACCAAGAUGAUAUCUUCCUCCACUGUCAGAGUUAUUUAGGAAAAAUAAUCUCUGGCAUAGGCCGAGUGCUCAUAAAUACUUCAGGAUGAGACAAUAAAGCCGCUCCCAGGUCCUGGCAUGGCCCAACCUCAGGACACUGGCCUACACAUUUGCAGGUAGAAGCAAAGGCCUGCGUCAGGCCUGUGGCCAGCUUUUGCUUGUGCGGGAGGCUCUAAAAUGAAGACAAUCUUACUCCAGGUCUCCUUCCACUUUGUUGCCUCUAGAAUGUCAUCUCCCUCCCCUCCUCUUGGAAAGGAGUCACUCCACCCCAACCAUCCAAAGGCUGAUGGGCCCCGCUGCCCAACUCAAUCCCACACAGUGCCUUGAGCCUAGUUGUGUUCCACUGUAUGCACAGCCCUACACAUGUGCCUGGAGGUGGAGGGGCACUCGGCUCAGCUCAGGCCCCCAAGGAACUUU
rnacentral:lncRNA from 1 species